rnacentral:lncRNA from 7 species
GUUAUAAUUUCCAGAAGAUGUGCUUUGGACUUUAGUUAUAGUCAUGAAAUGUUCUAAUCUGCUCCAAACUGCAUAAUUUGAAAUAACUUAUUACCAAAACUACUUUGCUCAGCUCAAAUGACAUGAACCUGCAGAAUCUCUUUCUUUGGUCCAGUCUGAACCCAGAAAGUAAAUUCCUUUGCUUCUUUUGAUACCAGUGAUGAAAAAAUGUAAUAGCCAUGAUGUAUACUUCUAUGUUGGAAGGACAUUUCUACAGUAUCUUCAGUUUUAAUGAAGAUUAGGUGUGACAAAGCUAUAUGGAGUAAUGGAAGUACCAGGAAGAAAUUGCUUUUUGAAAAUGAAAAGCUUUUUAAAAAGUCACAAUAGGACUGAGAGAGCCGUGAGUGCAUUUUCUACCCUAACAUUUUGGCAUUACUCUAUGGAGCCUUCUGCUAUCAGCAAGGAAAGAAAAAUUGCAGUUGACAUCUACACCUGGCAUUUGUCUCCAUUAAUGCUUAGUGCAGGGACUGUGUUCACUUGGCUUCAUCUCUACCUGUCAGAUACUUUGCUUUCUAGGAGGAAAGAGAACAGGGAGAAACCAAGCAGAUUUCCUAAUGUGAAUCAGUUUUCUUAUAGAAGCUGUAGCCAAGGGUCGAAUCUGCAUCCCUGGGGAAGAAACCACAACAUUAUGGCCUUGUUCGUCACAUCUUGUUCAAGUCUGCUCUUCUAUCCACUCAUCUGUCUCCUGCACAAAAUUCUUCUGCCUGCCUUUUUAUUUCAGGAGCUAGGAAACAAUUUUCAAAUUUGAAUCUUUC